rnacentral:rRNA from 1 species
AGUGAACGCUGGCGGUAGGCCUAACACAUGCAAGUCGAACGGCAGCACAGUAAGAGCUUGCUCUUACGGGUGGCGAGUGGCGGACGGGUGAGGAAUACAUCGGAAUCUACUUUUUCGUGGGGGAUAACGUAGGGAAACUUACGCUAAUACCGCAUACGACCUACGGGUGAAAGCAGGGGAUCUUCGGACCUUGCGCGAUUGAAUGAGCCGAUGUCGGAUUAGCUAGUUGGCGGGGUAAAGGCCCACCAAGGCGACGAUCCGUAGCUGGUCUGAGAGGAUGAUCCACCAAACUGGAACUGAGACACGGUCCAGACUCCUACGGGAGGCAGCAGUGGGGAAUGUUGGACAAAGGGCGCAAGCCUGAUCCAGCCAUACCGCGUGGGUGAAGAAGGCCUUCGGGUUGUAAAGCCCUUUUGCUGGGAAAGAAAAGCAGCAGGUUAAUACCCCGCUGUUCUGACGGUACCCAAAGAAUAAGCACCGGCUAACUUCGUG